UGCACUUGUAGCUUAAUGGAUAGAGCACUUCUUUGCGGAAGAAGCGGUUGGAGGUUCGACUCCUCUCAAGUGCAG
rnacentral:tRNA from 15 species